UGCAAUCGGUGGUGUCUUGUUUGCUCAUC
rnacentral:piRNA from 1 species